CGGAAAGUGGAAAACGGGUGAGUAAUAUAUCGGAACGUACCCAAGAGUGGGGGAUAACGUAGCGAAAGUUACGCUAAUACCGCAUACGAUCUAAGGAUGAAAGCAGGGGAUCUUCGGACCUUGUGCUCCUGGAGCGGCCGAUAUCUGAUUAGCUAGUUGGUGAGGUAAAGGCUCACCAAGGCCACGAUCAGUAGCUGGUCUGAGAGGACGACCAGCCACACUGGAACUGAGACACGGUCCAGACUCCUACGGGAGGCAGCAGUGGGGAAUUUUGGACAAUGGGCGAAAGCCUGAUCCAGCAAUGCCGCGUGAGUGAAGAAGGCCUUCGGGUUGUAAAGCUCUUUUGUCAGGGAAGAAACGGUCUGGGCUAAUACCCUGGGCUAAUGACGGUACCUGAAGAAUAAGCACCGGCUAACUACGUGCCAGCAGCCGCGGUAAUACGUAGGGUGCAAGCGUUAAUCGGAAUUACUGGGCGUAAAGCGUGCGCAGGCGGUUUUGUAAGUCUGACGUGAAAUCCCCGGGCUCAACCUGGGAAUUGCGUUGGAGACUGCAAGGCUAGAAUCUGGCAGAGGGGGGUAGAAUUCCACGUGUAGCAGUGAAAUGCGUAGAGAUGUGGAGGAACACCGAUGGCGAAGGCAGCCCCCUGGGUCAAGAUUGACGCUCAUGCACGAAAGCGUGGGGAGCAAACAGGAUUAGAUACCCUGGUAGUCCACGCCCUAAACGAUGUCUACUAGUUGUCGGGUUUUAAUUAACUUGGUAACGCAGCUAACGCGUGAAGUAGACCGCCUGGGGAGUACGGUCGCAAGAUUAAACUCAAAGGAAUUGACGGA
rnacentral:rRNA from 1 species